GUGCUUGUUUCAGCAGCACAUAUACUAAAAUUGGAACAAUUCAGAGGAGCUUAGCAUGGCCCCUGCACAAGGGUGACACAUAAAUUCAUGAAGCGUUCCAUAUUUUU